rnacentral:rRNA from 1 species
UACGGAGGAUCCAAGCGUUAUCCGGAUUUAUUGGGUUUAAAGGGUGCGUAGGCGGCCCUGUAAGUCAGUGGUGAAAUACUGCAGCUUAACUGUAGCAUUGCCAUUGAUACUGUAGGGCUUGAGUACAGAUGAGGUAGGCGGAAUUGAUGGUGUAGCGGUGAAAUGCAUAGAUACCAUCAAGAACACCGAUUGCGAAGGCAGCUUACUAAGCUGUAACUGACGCUGAGGCACGAAAAGCGUGGGGAUCGAACAGG